rnacentral:piRNA from 1 species
UACGGUCAAUUAUUUAAACUC